rnacentral:lncRNA from 1 species
CGGUUUCACCAACAAAAAAUAAAUCAGUGAAUAGUUAUUCGUCGAAUAAGAUUUAUUAGUCGAUUAAAUUUUAUUUCGUUUCAAUAACUAUUUGUAAUCCACAGUUAGUUAUUCGUCAAAUAAGUUCAAAGUAUAAUGAUUUUCCACAGACUGUACUCGUUGACACAAGCGAAUGGCAGUUCUUCUUCCUCAUAUUAGUUUGUUGGCCUCCACCUCUUCGGUGUUUUGCCAAGCAGAUUGCAUUAUUUUCGACUGUAAUCCCACGUGACCUCUGGUUGGCACAUAAACUAACAAAGAGGUUAUGUUUGUAGGUAUCUAUUUUUCAAUGAUUUUUCAUUGUUUAUAAUCAUCGUAUUUUGUCUAUUUUGGAUUCAUUUGGAUUUCGUUUCCUGUUUUUGUGCACUUUAUAAACUUAACCACAAUGCAAAAUGAUUAUUUAAGGAAAUUAUUAUUGGAAACUUCAGAUGUUGCGAGAAAGAUAUUUAUUGAAGCUGAAAAUAAUUGGGGAUUUAGAUCCAUACGCAAUUCAGUCAGAAUUGGAUUUUACAGUUAAGUGCAGUCCAUCAAGUUACUAUUAUAGAUAUUUAUACAUAUUUGGUGGAGUCUCACAGUUGCUACUCUAAGCAGCAGAUGAAAGCAUACAAAAGCCUUCAGGCACGUAAAUAUUUUACAGCUGGAUUUGUUUUGAAUGGAGUAAAAAUUGUUAAUGAUUUCCUGAUUUCCAUAUUAUUGUAGGAAAGGUGAAGCAUUUCCAAAAAGCUAAUGCUAAACGACUAAAUGCUUGGGUGGGGUGAUAGCAAGUUCUGAUGACAUAGCAAAUGCACAUUGUAUGCAUAUGGCCGGUAAUAGUAAAGUAUGCCCAGGGCAAGACAGACGAAGAAGAACCCAAUGCAUGUACAUAUGUUACAGCUACAUGGUUUGGAGAUAGCAACAUAUGCAUUCUCUGAUGAAAAACUAAUGAGUUUUGAAACUGUUCGGUCAGAGUGCUUGUUGCGCUCACUAAACGAACUGAAAUAUGAGAUGGCUUUGGCAUUGUGUUGCAGCGAUAUGAAAAUGGUUAUUCAUUUUUAAUUAUAAUGUACUUCUUCAUCAUGAGUAAUUAUGUAUUGGUCUUUUAAAUGUGUAUUUAUUUUUGUAAUUAGUAUCAACUUGUAAUGAUAAUAUACACUUAUCGUUUAAGGUAUGACUAUGUUUAGACUCUAAAAUAAAUGUUUUAAAAAUCGAA